rnacentral:rRNA from 1 species
UACCAGCACCCGAGUGGUCGGGACGAUUAUUGGGCCUAAAGCAUCCGUAGCCGGUUCUGCAAGUCCCCGUUAAAUCCAGCUGCUCAACCAGAUGGGCCGCGGAGGAAUACUACAGAGCUAGGAGGCAGGAGAGGCAAGCGGUACUCAGUGGGUAGGGGUAAAAUCCGUUGAUCCAUUGAAGACUACCAGUGGCGAAGGCGGCUUGCCAGAAUGACGCUCGACGGUGAGGAUGAAAGCUGGGGGAGCAAACCGG